GAUGAACGCUAGCGGGAGGCUUAAUACAUGCAAGUCGAGGGGUAACAGGGGCUUCGGCCCGCUGACGACCGGCGCACGGGUGAGUAACGCGUACGCAACUUACCUCCAAGCGAGGGAUAGCCCUGGGAAACUGGGAUUAAUACCUCAUGUGAUUAUGAUGCCGCAUGGUGUUAUAAUUAAAGUUCAGGCGCUUGGAGAUGGGCGUGCGUCCUAUUAGCUAGUUGGUGAGGUAACGGCUCACCAAGGCGACGAUAGGUAGGGGCGUGAGAGCGUGGCCCCCACCACGGUACGUGAGACGACGACCGGACC
rnacentral:rRNA from 1 species